GAAACUAUGCCCCAGACAUCAAUCUUCCCAAGCAUGCUUGGUACCAGUUGUAGUGGUCAUGUACAACCAGAUAUGGAGGAGAAGUGUGGUGACCCAGUGUACCAGGACGGCAGUCUAGUUUCAGGGUCCCUCGAGGUGCUCAUUGAGCACUUGGUGCCCACCGUUGACUAUUAUCCCGAUCGGACGUAUAUUUUCACCUUUCUCCUGAGUUCACGCGUCUUCAUCCACCCUCAAGAGCUGCUGACAAAAGUUGGGCAGAUCUGCACAAAACAGCUGGAGAUGGGCACCGAAGCGGACAAGGCUAAAGUGAAGGAAUUUGUGCCAAAAAUCAUCCAGCUGCUGACAGAAUGGACGGAAACAUUCCCACAUGAUUUCCAGGAUGAGAAAUCAAUGAAAGAACUCAAGGAGAUUACUCACCAGAUAGCACAGUGUGAUGAGGAAAACCCCAGUGUGAAGAAAAGCAUUAGUCAGAUGACCCAAAGUCUGAUCCGCAACCUCUCGACCCACAGCCAGUACCAAGAGGCACGGGAAAUAAUCAAACCGUCAGUCGCGGACAAGCAGACCAUCCUGAAACCCAAGACUCAGUCCAGUCAGAAGGAUAUACUGAGUGUUUGCAAUGACCCCUGUGUCUUAGCCCAACAGCUCACCCAUAUUGAGAUGGAACGAUUAACGCACAUCACUCCUGAGGAGCUGGUGCAUAUAUUUAACCACAUGGAUUCAAUGGACAAUCACAAGAGCUGCCGCAGUGACAUCAAGAAGACAUGCAACUUGGAAGCGUGUGACAACUGGUUUAAUCGGCUCAGCUCUCUGGUCGCAACCGAGAUAUGCAGAGUUGGCAAAAAGAAACAGAGGACACGGAUGGUGGAGUUUUUCAUCGACGUGGCAAGAGAAUGUUUUAACAUCGGCAACUUCAACUCUCUAAUGGCCAUCAUCUCCGGUAUGAACCUGAGUCCUGUUGCUAGGCUGAAAAAAACUUGGUCCAAGGUCAAAAAGGCGAAAUUUGAAGUUUUGGAAAAUCACAUGGACCCUUCCAGCAACUUCUCUCACUAUAGAACAGCUCUUCAGGGGGCUGUCCAGAGGUCCCAGACAGCACACAGCAACCGGGAGAAGAUUGUCAUCCCAGUGUUCAAUCUCUUCAUUAAAGACAUCUACUUUCUGAACAAGAUUCACGCAAACAGGCUGGCUAAUGGACAGAUUAAUUUUAAGAAAUUCUGGGAAAUUGCCAAACAGAUUAGUGAAUUUAUGAUGUGGAAACAGGUUGAGUGUCCCUUCGAGAAGGACAAGAAGAUCAAAAACUAUCUCCUGACGGCGCCUGUCUACACAGAAGAAGCACUUUACUUGGCUUCAUUUGAGAGUGAGGGGCCAGAGAAUCACAUGGAGAAAGACAGCUGGAAGUCACUCAGGGCAACACUGUUGAACAGAGUGUGAAGGAACCACAUUAUACAUACUAGACACUGCGAACCAUUUGCACUGCAACAGAUUUUAGCUCCAACUGGAUGGAAAGAGACUUGGCAUGGUCGUCGUUGCUUUAAAUUUGUAAAUUUUGGUUUUGAUUCGGACUCGGAUCGUGACUGUACAGAGAGAGAAAGAGGCCGACUGAUGGGGCUUUGGUCCCGCUGGCUGGGAUAUGUCUAUUAAACGCCUUUUGCAGCAGACUUUGUGCUUUGACUUGUAAAAUAAAUGGAAGACAAAGAGAAGGCAGAAGAAUGACUUUUGCCAUAGGGCAGGACCCUGUAAUGAAGAAAAGCAUCAUGGGAAAUCCCCAGCUGCUGUCUCUAUGGAUACCAGUAGAAAAUAAAUAGGACAAUGGCAGCCUACCUCACUAGAAUGAAGGACACAGUGGAGUGAUUGUUUCAUAUUCCAGCCUAUAGUCUGCGGAAUGCAUGGUCCUGAGGGUCGAGGAGCCCCAUAGCCCUGCGUUACUGCAGUGUGUGCAUGUUGCUGCUGUUCCAACUCAACCCACUCUCACGAACUUUGAUUUAAAAUAAUUAAUUAAACCGUGCAAGAAAACUGAAAUAACUUGCCUUUUUUACCAGCCUGAAGUCUUCAAAUGAUUUCUGCCCGGUGUUUCAGUUCCCUAUUUAGUCAUCGUGUGGAAUCUUUAUUAAAAGAAAUGAUGUCAACAAUUAUCUUAUAUAAAAUAGAUCCCCCCCUCCCCUCCACUGACACAGAAUAAAGAUUCUCGAUCGAGCCCCAACAGGAAUAUUGUGCACAUGUUUCUGUGUCAGACAGUAAGGGGCAAGUGUAGGCGAGGCCAAGCAGCCUAAUCCUCAGUAUUUAAGGGCAAGUGGAUGAGCAUUGAUGAGCCUCUGUCUUUUUGAGAUUGACUCAAUAGACAAGUCCUGGGGGGGGGCAACAAGAUGGUAAAGUUAAAUCUAAAACAAUACUUUCAGACACUUUCUGUCCCAGUGUCGAGAACUCUCUUUAUACAGAUCUUGAUCGACAGCUUGAAUAGCCAGAAAGGACCGGAUACUGGGCAGCGUAGCUGGUUGCCGUAAUGGGGGAAACAGCAGGGUGAAGGUAAAAUGGGAUGAGGAACUUUGAUCCAAGCCCAUCUUUGUUAGCAAUCUGCCCAAUCCAUCAAUGUAAGCCCUUUAUCCAAGUUUGGGAAACUGUAUCUCAUCUUGACAACACAUUACAGCAACUUACAAUGUCCCAGGCACUGCCAGUGCAUUUCGGUCUAUACAUUGGGUAAAGGGGUGGAUUUUGGGGAGUUUUCAAAGGCACCAUUACUCAAACUGAGAUUAACUAUAAUCCCGAGAGGGGUUAGAAGGAUCAGAAUCUCUUCUGAACAAUCUGUAAAGAAGGUUUGAUUGAAGAUAGAGCACUCAGACACUCUGGGUGAUUCACGGGGGGAAUCACUACAGUAUGGCCCGUGAAUUACUAAUCAAGGUGACUGGUGUUCAUCAUCCAGAGAAAAACUCAACACCUGCAAAUCCCACAAAAACAAAACUCAGCAAAUUUGAUCAUUAUAAAUUGGGAGAGGGGCUCUGAUUCUUUAACUUUCUUCCUUGAAACCUGUACACCAAGCACAGCAAAUAAUCAGCAUAGUGACAUAUUAUCAUCACCUAUUAUCGAUGUGGGAGGAGGCCAUUCUGCCCAUUGUGCCUGUGCUAUCUCUACACUGGAAAUACCUGCCCACUUCCCCGCAUAUCUGCUGCUAAAGUGAGAUUUAACUGAAGGGAUUGGCGACAGACACAAGCCAGAGAUCUCUGCAUUUAUUAAAAGUGCCUCCCUAUCCCAUCGCCCUGUGACUUUAGUUUAAAACAGUCAAACUGAGUAUAUCCUGAGGGCGACAUCUUCCUGGCGUGCUGUACGGAAUGAAGUUGCUUAUAUGUAUAAAAACAAAUGGGAUUAUGAUUUUAGUUACACAUCGGACACCAGGAAUCCUCCCCCCGCAAAAAGAUCAAAGUCCAUUUUGCCAUUUGUUGACCUUGACACUGUAAGUGAUCCCAUUAUUUCUGUUUUUACUUGGAACAAUAUCAGCAGUGCCCACCUCAGUAAUGCAGCUCAUGGGACCUCCAAGUAUCUGCCUGCGAAAUACAUAACUGCCCGCUGAAGGGAAUAACAGCCUUUCCUUGUGCAUGAGCGCCUGUUUUAUCCUGGCUUCAUUGACCCACGGGCAGGUAACUGCAGACAGAUGAGAACAAGAACAGUUUUCACAAGAUCCUCAAGUCAUUUUCUGAAGGUCCACCCGGCCAAAUAAUAAGAAAAAUACAAAAAGUUGUGGGUUUUUUUUUAAAAAUAAUACAAUUAGAUUUGGUAACACUGGCCGUUGAAGUACAGCGGAUAUUAAAUACAUUGUGCAAACAACAGCAUCCUUAUUUGACUUUUGUGAAAAUGUGGGGUGCAAACAUUGUGACUGGGAGAGACAAAUCUUGCAGUGUCUCUGCCUGGUCUGUGUGGGGAUGGCAUUCGCGGGUCCCUGUUGCAUCUGUUCUAGAAUUUAUGCAAUGUAAAAAGGGAGAAAACCUAUGUAUUUCCCCCCCUCCCCUUGAAAAUAAACACCGCCCUUCAUUUUCUUGCACAGGAAGCAUUUCUCCCAAGUGAGGAAAUGACUUACCAGCACCUCGCAUUUUUUUCUUCUCUAAAGGGUUUAUUUGUCUGGAAGCACUGAAUGUGUUGUACGCCACUCUCAAUGUUUAAAUUGUUGGUUUUUAUAAAGAUACAACUACAGAAAAUAAAUUAUGGUGAAAAUACUA